CCUACGGGGGGCAGCAGUGGGGAAUAUUGCACAAUGGGCGAAAGCCUGAUGCAGCCAUGCCGCGUGUGUGAAGAAGGCUCUAGGGUUGUAAAGCACUUUCAGUCGGGAGGAAAGCUUGUAGAUUAAUACUCUGCAAGUGUGACGUUACCGACAGAAGAAGCACCGGCUAACUCCGUGCCAGCAGCCGCGGUAAUACGGAGGGUGCAAGCGUUAAUCGGAAUUACUGGGCGUAAAGCGCACGUAGGUGGUUUGUUAAGUUGGAUGUGAAAGCCCAGGGCUCAACCUUGGAACUGCAUUCAAAACUGGCGAACUAGAGUAUGGUAGAGGUGAGUGGAAUUUCCUGUGUAGCGGUGAAAUACGUAGAGAUGGGAAGGAACAUCAGUGGCGAAGGCGACUCACUGGACCAAUACUGACACUGAGGUGCGAAAGCGUGGGUAGCAAACAGGAUUAGAUACCCUGGUAGACCACGCCGUAAACGAUGUCUACUAGCCGUUGGGGUCCUUGAGACUUCAGUGGCGCAGCUAACGCACUAAGUAGACCGCCUGGGGAGUACGGUCGCAAGAUUAAAACUCAAAUGAAUUGACGGGGGCCCGCACAAGCGGUGGAGCAUGAGGUUUAAUUCGGAGCAACGCGAAGAACCUUACCUACUCUUGACAUCCACAGAACUUUUCAGAGAUGAAUUGGUGCCUUCGGGAACUGUGAGACAGGUGCUGCAUGGCUGUCGUCAGCUCGUGUUGUGAAAUGUUGGGUUAAGUCCCGUAACGAGCGCAACCCUUGUCCUUAGUUACUAACAUUAAGUUGAGAACUCUAAGGAGACUGCCGGUGACAAACCGGAGGAAGGCGGGGACGACGUCAAGUCAUCAUGGCCCUUACGAGUAGGGCUACACACGUGCUACAAUGGCCAGUACAAAGGGUUGCCAAGCCGCGAGGUGGAGCUAAUCCCAGAAAGCUGGUCGUAGUCCGGAUCGGAGUCUGCAACUCGACUCCGUGAAGUCGGAAUCGCUAGUAAUCGUGAAUCAGAAUGUCACGGUGAAUACGUUCCCGGGCCGUGUACACACCGCCCGUC
rnacentral:rRNA from 1 species